UACGGAGGGUGCAAGCGUUAUCCGGAUUCACUGGGUUUAAAGGGUGCGUAGGUGGGUUGAUAAGUCAGUGGUGAAAUCCCCGAGCUUAACUUGGGAACUGCCAUUGAUACUAUUGAUCUUGAAUACCGUGGAGGUCAGCGGAAUAUGUCAUGUAGCGGUGAAAUGCUUAGAUAUGACAUAGAACACCAAUUGCGAAGGCAGCUGGCUACGCGAAUAUUGACACUGAUGCACGAAAGCGUGGGAAUCAAACAGG
rnacentral:rRNA from 1 species